GGGGAUAUAGCUCAGCUGGGAGAGCGCUUGAAUGGCAUUCAAGAGGUCACGGGUUCAAACCCCGUUAUCUCCACCA
rnacentral:tRNA from 1 species